GCAUGGCAAGGGCUCCGCGCCUGCCUGCCUGCCUGCCACUGUAGCCGCCUCCGAAACUGAACCCGCCACAUCGUGGCCUUCUCGGUGCCUUCUGGAAAGAGGAGCGCAGGGCGAGCCUUGCCAGCAUAGCACCAGCAGGAAGCCUAAGGAACGCGGCGCGGGGGGUGGGGGGGAGGCCUUGGCCCGUUUACCUUUCGGAGGUAGCUAGUCACCACAUACUCGAAGGGGUAUCUGUAAAUUGUGUGUGCCUCCACGGUCACGCCCAUGGCGGGAGCACAGGAGCUGCUGCCCGCUCUGCAAUCUGGUUCCCAAACUUCGCCCGAUGGCCAGUCCCCUCCCCUCGCAGGCUGCUGCACCCCCCCGCUUCCCCUCCUCGUGCCAAAAGCUCCCGCGGUCGAGUUCACUGCAAUUUGAUCGAGUGCUAUCCGAUCGUCGCCUUCAGGCAAAUAAACCCCCUUGCCCGGUCGUGGAUUAAGCACAUGCGGACUAGCAAGGAAGGGAAAGGGCGGUCAAUCAAUAUUUCCUUUCUUGGAUUCGGUGGCCAGAGGAAGGAAGCGAUCGCACGCGUGGGAGUCUGUUUUACUAGCUCGGGAAAGUCAACUUCGUUUGAGUGUGUCCAGCCUUACAGUAGCCCUACCAGGCACUCUCAUUCAUCUGACAGAGUCGGACUACUUCCUUAAUCCCAAGCCCUCAUGAUCUUCCUGCCUCUAUGUCACUGGGACAGAAAACAAGAAUGCACACAUAGGCUGGGAGACAAAGGAUAGCCCUGUCAGCAGGUAGGAAUGGUGCAUCCAUAUCAUUCUGAGUUCUUUCUGUCUUUGUGGUUAUAUGCCUCAGAAAGAACUUAAAGCAUUGUCUUGCCAUGCCCAUUUGUGGCUGUCUUUCUGAAACCACAUAUGAAUUUUGGAGGUCAUACGUGAUUCCUUACAUAAAUUGUUCUUUACUGUUUUUGUUUUGUUUUCUGCAUUGUUUGACAUUCCUCAUCUAAUACUUUUUUUUUGCACUGGUUCUAAUUUUUGUAAUCUCAGUCCUAUUUCAUUUUUCUCAUGUGAUUUGAUCAUACUGCUUUACUCCAUGUAAAACACCAGAACAGCAGAACACCCAAUGAUAAAGGGAGGGGGUUAUAAAUGAAGUAAAUAAAUAAAUACAUGUUGUGAACAAUGUGUCACUUGUGUUACAAGCUUGAGCAAUCUCUGUGUUUAGUAUAGGUAGUACAAAUGGCCCACAUUUUUACCUCCCAAAAGCCGUGUAAUAGCUUUCACUAAGACCAGUCAAAAUAAGACAAAAUGUGCUAGUUUUGGGGUUGAUUUAAUCAGGCUGGAUGUUAAAAGGGUAGAAGAAAGAAUCAAGAUUCCUUGAGUCAUGCUCUUAAGGCCUGCCAUCAAGACAGCACCCUAUACAGACUCCUUAGCUAUAUUGCAACCAAUACAGGGCACCCUUGGCAUGUUGGGAACAAGAAGCAAACAAAUGGAAACUUUCCAGUUGAAAACAUUAACAACCAAUAAUUGAUCCAAUGUCAGUACAAAACUGAAAGGCUCUCUUGGGGCUCAGCUCUAGCCUUAUUACUGGUAUAGCAUCAGUAGAAAAUAUGUUGUAAAAAGGCACCUGCGCAUACUUGGGCCACUAAAGGGGUGAGAUGUUUGACUUGGUGAUAGAACCAGGGGUUAUGUGUUUUCUCCUGAUGCCUGUCUACAGGUGAACAAAUAGUUUUCUGCCUGUAACCUUCUUGCUUCCUAUCUUUUUUCUCUGUCCUUAGGAUCCAUGUGGACAAACUCCAAAAUGUCUACAAGCAGACCCACACACAUGUGGCCAGCUCAAUAAAUGUAUAGAAAUUAGUAUAUAUAGAUUAAUUCUUGAUGGAAGUGGAAUAUUGUUCAAUAAAGUAUGCUUUCUCGUUUAACACUG